AAUCUUCCGCAAUGGACGAAAGUCUGACGGAGCAACGCCGCGUGUAUGAUGAAGGUCUUCGGAUUGUAAAGUACUGUCUUUGGGGAAGAACGGUCGAUUUGUGAAUAUUGAGUCGACAUGACGGUACCCAAGGAGGAAGCCCCGGCUAACUACGUGCCACCAGCCGCGGUAAUACGUAGGGGGCAAGCGUUUUCCGGAAUCAUUGGGCGUAAAGGGCGCGUAGGCGGAUAGUUAAUUCUGGUGUGAAAGAUCAGGGUUCAACCCUGAGAGUGCACCGGAAACUGGUUAUCUUGAGGACAGGAGAGGAAAGUGGAAUUCCUAGUGUAGCGGUGAAAUGCGUAGAUAUNAGGAGGAACACCAGUGGCGAAGGCGACUUUCUGGACUGUAACUGACGCUGAGGCGCGAAAGCCUGGGGAGCAAACAGGAUUAGAUACCCUGGUAGUCCACGCUGUAAACGAUGAGUGCUAGGUGUAGAGGGUAUCGACCCCUUCUGUGCCGCAGUUAACACAAUAAGCAUUCCGCCUGGGGAGUACGGCCGCAAGGUUGAAACUCAAAGGAAUUGACGG
rnacentral:rRNA from 1 species